rnacentral:lncRNA from 1 species
GCGCGGCCUCCUGCAGCCAGGCGCGCUCGCUCAGCGGCGGGACCGGAGACCAGGUGACCCCGGGCUGGUACCAACCGGCAAGGCCAGAGCGACCCUGAAUGCCCUACCGUGUUGACUAAAGGUUCACACAUGAGGACCCGCGUGGUCCUUGUCACCGAGGGGAGUGGUCCGAGAGCCCAGCUCACGCGUCCCGGGUCGUACUCUAGGCGAGGAUUGCAUCAUGAGGGCCCGAGGUCCUGAGAACAAGAGCAGCGUCUCCACCACGGCCUGUCUCCGUGGUCCCCAGGAGGGCUAGGCUCAGAGGAUGUGCUCAGUGUUUGCCAGGGAGCCUUGAAGGAAAUCCUGAGAACUGUCACAAGGAGAAUCCACUGGGCCAUGGACUGUGCUUCGCUGAGAGUCUGCAAACAGCACCCGAGCUGGCGCCGUGCUCCCCCUCCUCCCCCUCCUCUUCCCACUGUCCUCUCCCUCCUGCUCUCAUCCUAUCUGAUCAGGUCACAAGGCAGUGACUGCUGUGGGGAUCAGUGCUGUCACUCUUCAAGUCAACAUUGUCCCAUUUCUGGCCAUCCUUGCUGCCACCCCAGGAGGCAUUGGGAAGCAGGUCCCCCCUGGCAGCUGCCAGCCCCAAGAGAGGUGGGCACCUGAGAAAGGGGUCAUGAAACUCUAGGACUGAACAGAUUUCCCUUUUAAGAAGCCAGGGGCAACCUACCCCGAGGCCAAGUGGUUAAGUCCAUGCUGUCUGCUCCGGCGGCCCACGGUUUCACCAGAGCAAACCUGGCUCCUGGGUGCGGACAUGGCUCCACUCAUCAGGCCAUGCUGAGGCGGUGUCCCACAUGCCCCAACCAGAAGGACACACAACUAAAAAAAAAAUACGCAACUCUAUAAUGGGGGGAUUUGGGGAGAAAAAGCAGAAAGAAAGAAAAAAAGAGAUUGGCAACAGUUGUUAGCUCAGGUGCCAAUCUUUAAAAAAUAUAAAAAGAAGCCGGGCCAAGAAAGGAAUUAUGCACCUGGCCCUGGGCUUCCCAGAGCAGCUGCAAAGCUGGGAUGAGAGUCCCCUGCCCAUCCACGGCUUCACCCCCACCCAGGGAGAAAGGAGCCCCCUCAAAGCAGCCUCAGAUGGCUGGUCAAGUGUUUCCACCUGCGUGCGCUCUACAAACACCGGUGCUCUUGUUAUCGGCCGGUGAACAGGCAGGUCUGAAAACACCCUCAAUUGUGAAGGAGUGAUGAGUGCAGAUUUCAGGAUGUCUGGAACAACUGAAGUGUAAUUGAUAUGACAAGGUUGCAAGCUCUGUUAAUGGGAUGUAAGAGGUCACGUGUAUACUUGAAGGAAAUACAAAAUCCAAUAGAAAAGAAAAUGAAGAGGUAAUUUUUCCCCAUCCAAGUUCAUGGAUUCCUGAAAUGUUCCCAGAGACUCCAGGCUGAGAACCAUGAAGCAGCUCUCAACAAGCCCUUAAAACUAAAAUAAAAGUAAAAUAAAAGUGGAGAGGAGAAAAACGCAGAAAGAUGAGGACCUACUGGGAAAUCUUUGCCUCUGUCUGGGUUCUGAGCUGGACUUUGUAGCCAGACCAUGUCACACGGAACCCCAACUCUGCCCAUUCCUGCUGAGUGACCUAGUCCAAGCCACUGUGCUCCCUGUGCCUCAGUUUCCUCCUUUUGCAAAUGGGGAUACUGGCAGUCCUGUCCUCAUGGGGCUGCUGUGA